ACGGACUAGAUGGGUCCAACAGUGCUGGGUAAGGCGAGGACGGGGCAGCCGGAAGCGCGCGCAUGCUCUGGACUCGUGCACCCGCCUCCAAUUGUUUUUAAGGAGAAACUAUCAAUGAAAACGGACUCGUUGAUGGAGGAAAAGUUGGAAUGCAGCCUCUAGUGCUGUUUGAGCGAUCCCUCUCCCCCGGGCCGCUGCUGUGUUCUGGAAAGGCGCAUUGUACCCUGGAUGCAGCAGGAAUCCUGUUCAUCUUCUUCACCGAUAUGGUUUGUGGACUCUGAUGAGCCAAAUCUGACAUCACUUCUGGAACGUCUAGAAGAUACUAAGGACAACAUUUCGGUGAGGAAAGAAGCCAAGCUAUUUUCUCUUUUCCUCAUGAACAUUAUAUUUAGAACUUAAAUGUUAAGUGAUAAUAUUAUAUAAAAGCAUGAUUAAUAACUAUAAUCUUAGAGGAAUUAAAGUCUGGGUAUUUUAAGUCCUCCAGAUCUUA
rnacentral:sRNA from 1 species